AAGGCAGCAGUGGGGAAUAUUGCACAAUGGGCGCAAGCCUGAUGCAGCUAUGUCGCGUGUAUGAAGAAGACCUUAGGGUUGUAAAGUACUUUCAAUAGCAUAAGAAGGUAAUGAAACUAAUAAUUUUGUUAUCAGACGUUAGCUAUAAAAGAAGCACCGGCUAACUCCGUGCCAGCAGCCGCGGUAAUACGGAGGGUGCUAGCGUUAAUCGGAAUUACUGGGCGUAAAGAGCACUUAGGUGGUUUAUUAAGUCAAGUGUGAAAUCCCUAGACUUAAUCUAGGAACUGCAUUUGAAACUAAUAGACUAGAGUUUCGUAGAGGGAGGUAGAAUUCUAGGUGUAGCGGUGAAAUGCAUAGAUAUCUAGAGGAAUAUCAGUGGCGAAGGCGACCUCCUGGACGAUAACUGACGCUAAAAUGCGAAAGCAUGGGUAGCAAACAGGAUUAGAUACCCUGGUAGUCCAUGCUGUAAACGAUGUCGACUAAGAAGUUGAAAGCUUUGACUUAUAAUUUCUGUAGCUAACGCGUUAAGUCGACCGCCUGGGGAGUACGGCCGCAAGGCUAAAACUCAAAUGAAUUGACGGGGGCCUGCACAAGCGGUGGAGCAUGUGGUUUAAUUCGAUGCAACGCGUAAAACCUUACCUGGUCUUGACAUCCACAGAAUUUUAUAGAAAUAUAAAAGUGCAAUUUGAACUGUGAGACAGGUGCUGCAUGGCUGUCGUCAGCUCGUGUUGUGAAAUGUUGGGUUAAGUCCCGCAACGAGCGCAACCCUUGUUUUUUGUUACCAUCAGAUAAAGCUGGGGACUCAAAAGAAACUGCCAGUUAUAAACUGGAGGAAGGUGGGGACGACGUCAAGUCAUCAUGGCCCUUACGACCAGGGCUACACACGUGCUACAAUGGCGUAUACAAAGAGAUGCAAUAUUGUAAAAUAAAGCUAAUCUAUAAAAUACGUCUUAGUUCGGACUGGAGUCUGCAACUCGACUCCACGAAGUCGGAAUCGCUAGUAAUCGUGGAUCAGCAUGCCACGGUGAAUAUGUUUCCAGGCCUUGUACACACCGCCCGUCACACCAUGGAAGUGGGUUGCAAAAGAAGUAGAUUAAUUUAACCUUCUUAACAAGAAAAUAGUUUACCACUUUGUGAUUCAUGACUGGGUGAGAGG
rnacentral:rRNA from 1 species